CGGCCUUGACAUACUAAGAACUUUCCAGAGAUGGAUUGGUGCCUUCGGGAACUUAGAUACAGGUGCUGCAUGGCUGUCGUCAGCUCGUGUCGUGAGAUGUUGGGUUAAGUCCCGCAACGAGCGCAACCCUUUUCCUAUUUGCCAGCGGGUCAUGCCGGGAACUUUAAGGAUACUGCCAGUGACAAACUGGAGGAAGGCGGGGACGACGUCAAGUCAUCAUGGCCCUUACGGCCAGGGCUACACACGUGCUACAAUGGUCGGUACAAAGGGUUGCUACCUCGCGAGAGGAUGCUAAUCUCAAAAAGCCGAUCGUAGUCCGGAUCGCAGUCUGCAACUCGACUGCGUGAAGUCGGAAUCGCUAGUAAUCGCGGAUCAGAAUGCCGCGGUGAAUACGUUCCCGGGCCUUGUACACACCGCCCGUCACACCAUGGGAGUUUGUUGCACCAGAAGUAGGUAGUCUAACCGCAAGGAGGACGCUUACCACGGUGUGGCCGAUGACUGGGGUGAAGUCGUAACAAGGUAGGCGUAGAUGA
rnacentral:rRNA from 1 species